rnacentral:lncRNA from 1 species
AACAUUUGUCUCUGAUUUUAGCCUUCUUUUUACUCCAUAGACAACAGUACUAGCUUGCUCAUUCUUCAUCAGACUUGGGAACUCAGUUACCAUUUUUUUACUCAUGGUGUCUGUCACAACUUAGACAACAUCUUCCUUAAUUUUAAUGACAUCUUUGAUAAUAGGAUUACUCCGUCCAAGUUGAGUGCAACUGCUUCCUCGAGAAUCACCUGAGUAACUCUUCAUUUUCUCGUCUUGAAAAUCAGUCAUUUGAUCGCCA